AACCCUAACCACCACUAAUGUUUCCCUACUCUGACCAAACCCAACCGCAGCAUUAAACAUUUCCAUGGAGAAAAAAAAAACAGAGGAAAGAGAGAGGGGUUGAGGGAGAGAGCGACGGAGGGCUACGCCCUGCUACCGAGCCGCCACCAAACUCGCCGCCCAGCUGUCGUCACGUUACUGCCCAACCACCAUGGUGUCGCUGUUCCCUGAAGCCCGUGUCACUGUCGAGCCUAGACGAGAGAGGAGAGGCCGAGCCUGAACCUUGACGAGCUGGGAAGAACCAGCGCCGCCGCUGUGCCAUCGUCGUGGACACCAUCGCCGCCGUUCGUGCCUCUGAUUCGCACCGUUGUGACUUCUGUCACCGUUAGGCUGUCUGCUGACGUCACCGCCACCAUAACCGCCGUUGCUGGUGACCGCCAGUAGAACCCUUGUCGUCUUGGUCGAGUUCUGGCUAUUGCGGGUCGCGAUUGAAGCUGCUGCUGCUUGGUUCGGUUCCUUCUUAGUUUAUGAGUUGCUAUAGUUGUUGCGAAAGUGGUCUGGAGCUGAGAUUUCGGCUGCUGCGUUGCGGGCCAAAAAAAAAAUGGAGUUUUGUCACAUAAUUGAGUCGCGAUUGAGGUUUUUUCCUUUUCAGGAUAUGAGCGACAGAGCUUUAGAAGAGUUAUAUUCAUUUUCUAUUUAUUCGACAUAGCAAUUUUUGCAAGAGGGAUAUGAAUUUUGAUAUGUUAUUUGUAAGUAUUGUAAUCUGUAUUGUAACGUAUGGAUAGAAGUUUUGAAUAUUCGGUUUUAAGUUUUAAAGAUGCUCAUAUUUUAGUAUUCAAUAUUUUAAAAGUCGUCGUAAUACCCGAGCUAUCAGAGUGACCACUAGAUGAGUAUAAAGAAA